AGCCGGCCCUGGUUAAAAACCUUCACCUAAUUUCAAGCCUAAAAUUGUUAAUGGCCAGUUUAUAUCCAUGUAUUAUUGUGUCAACACUGGCACUUAACUUACAUUAUACCUCCCCCUUUCUGGUAUUUAUCCCUCCAAUGUAUUUAUAGAGAGCAAUUAUAUCUCUCCUCAGCCUUCUUUUGGUUACGCUAAACAAACCAAGUGCUUUGAGUCUCCUCUCAUAUGGUAGGUUUUGCAUUCCUC